CCAGAUCCUGGGUAGGCUGGCGAGGGAACCGGUUUUCCUCCUCCCCAGCGAGUGGGGACCGGGUGGGGAGAGCCCCGCCUUCCCAGCGCUCCGCCUCGCCCCGCGCAGGCCGCUCCUUUCCAGAGGAAGCAUCUAGAACAGAACGCAGGCACCGGCUUGCGAACGCUGGACGACGACUUCCCGAGGCCGUGUGGUGUGUAAACAGAACUGUUGUCAAUCAAGUCGCGUCUGGAACUUCUGUCCAUGUUGAGAACCACCUUACAUUCCUUACUCAAUGGACUAACAAAGACAAAGCAGCCCAACUAAGAGUGAAAUAAUUUAAGCAACUGUGCAAAUUUGCAAGAAAGCGUGGCCAACAGAAAGCCUUCAUCCUCUGUAUUUACACUGGCAAGAAUCUUCAGAAGAAGAGUUCCUGGAGAGAAACUCUGAAAGCAGAGGAAACCAAACACACUGUACAUGUAGAGUUACCCAUGGACUGGGAAAAGACACAGGACUUCUCCUUGAGGGAAGGGAGAUAAAUGGCUGCCUGUUUGAGGAACACAACUGCAUGCAUUCACUCCUGUGAAAGAAAUUCAUUUAAGAGCAAUUGGGUUAGAAAUGGAGAUUUAGGGCUUCCCUGGUGGCGCAGUGGUUAAGAAUCCGCCUGCCAAUGCAGGGCACUCAGGUUCAAGCCCUGGUCCGGGAAGAUCCCACAUGCUGCGGAGCGCCUAAGCCCGUGCGCCACAACUACUGAGCCUGCGCGCUAGAGCCCGGGAACCACAACUACUGAGCCUGUGCGCCUAGAGCCCGUGCUCUGCAACAAGAGAAGUCACAGCAAUGAGAAGCCUGCGCACCUCAACGAACAGUAGCCCCUGCUCACCACAACUAGAGAAAGCUGUCGCGCAGCAACAAAGACCCAACGAAGACAAAAAUAAAUAAAAAUAAAUAAAUUUAAAAAAAGAAAUGGAGAUUUACACAGAUGGGUUUAAAGAAGAGGAGCGUGUAAGAGACAGUCAAGAUGUACAUCAGUCAUUUGCUGCAAAACUGUGAACAGUAUUGGCGAAUUAGGAUACAAUGUGAAGUGGAAAAAUGGGCCACUAACUUGUAAUUAAACUAUGAUUGCACUUAUGUUAAAUAUGUGUAUUAUGGACAAAGACUGAUCAGGAAUCCAGAGAAAUUAACAUAGUUAUUGCGUUAAUGUAGUGACAUUGUUUUUCAUUGUUUAAAUUGUGUGGGUGUGAAUGUGAUGGAGAGCUUGUGUAUUGAGUCUGAUAGUAAGACAGUAACACAAAGAAUCAGUAAGCGGGUGUUUAAGUUUCACAUGCCAUGCCAGCUGUGAACUUAACCUCUCCGAGCCUCAGUGCUUUUAUAUAGAAAGUGGGAAUAAUAGCACCUGCCCUGCACUAAUAGGGUAGUGAAAACACUCUGUAAAUUGAAAGUGUCGUGGGAGAUUGUGUGAGGCAUUCAGAAGAUCAGAGUACUGUAUAGACCAGACACUUAAAAAGUCCAGAACUCAAAAAGUUAUCCCUAAUCUCUUGUCUCAGCAGUCAUGCGGGAGCUGGACAACAUGUUAUAUCAUAGUUGCAC